GAAAAGGGAAUUAGGUGCAAUCUGUAGUUCUGAUUAGAAAACCUGAAGCCUGAUAUGCUUUAUUUUAUUUAUUUGGAGAUACAGCAUAGGACAGACCUUUCUGGCCCAACAAAUUAUACUAACCAGCAACCCACCUAUUUAAAUUCUAGCUUAAUCACAGGACAAUUUACAAUGACCAGUUAACCUACUAAGUGGUACGUGUUUGGAAUGCGGGAGGAAACCCUGCAGUCAUGAGGAAACAUACGAAUUCCUUAUAGUCUGCACCCAAACUGAACUCCAAUACUCCAAGCUGUAAUAGCAUCACCCUAACCACCAUGCUACAUGGUGCCCCUUCUCUUACUGGUAUGCAGAACUGGAUUAUAAAGAUAAAACAUAUCUUUACUUGUGUUAGCAAACAAAGGUGCAGUCUCUCAUCGUCUUAUACUGUCAGUUUAUUCAGGUCAUCUCUUGGUACAUUUCAUACAACAUACACCUUGGUAAAACCCACUAUCAGAUACCAUUCCUUAGUCAGUAGGAAAGGGUAGCAGGAGAUGUGCUACAUUAUUGGAGAAUGCUGUAGAAGAGCGACAGAAAUUCAUCAAAACUUUGUUAGAAUCAAGUUUUGUCUCUAGUUGGAAUCUCAAAUUCAGUGUUUCUUUGUUGGUGUGUUUAAAGUCCACAGACAAAUAACAAGAUGGAUACUAAGACUGGCAGAUUCAAUAUAUCCAAUUUAAUUAAAAAAGGCCUGAACAGGAUUUUCUUUUGUUGAAUUUGAGUUUAAGGUAGCUUUUCAAAUUAAGAAACUGAGCCUGGUGCCAGAAGAUAACCCCAAGAGCCACCAAAAGGAAAAUUAAUGACAAGAUGGGUGAAGAGAAGAUGAAAUAAGCUGCAGCUGCCUGACUGGAAAGGAAAUGUGCAAAUAGGACCAGACAAUGUCACACCUGCUGGACCCUUACAAUUGGAAUAAUAAUUUAGAAAACAGCUAAAUUAGAGACAUUACAACAAGAAAUAUGAACACACCGAAGUUGAUUCCUUUGGCUUUGGAACGCCUAAAAGUUCAUGUGCAUAGAGGGACUCCUCCAGGAUUCGCUCA